CAUAUUCUCCAUUUGAUUUGUGCAAAUUUGAAUACCAUAGAACGAAAAUUAUAAAAUAUAUCAUAUAGGUCAAAAACACCAGUAAUCCAUGGAAUUACAGGACGCAAAAUAUAGCACAUAGCAGACCAAUGAGUAGAUUAUAUCGUUGAAUCAAUACAGAGCCAAGGAUACACAAAAAUGUCACCAUAAAAGCAACCCAAAAGUCCCACAAGAUCUUCCUCAUUUCCAUAUAGACAACUUACAUAGGCUGUAGCUGUUUACUUUUUAGCAUCAUAAAUCUUUUCUUCAAUACCCUAGAGAAUGGUCAUAUAGGAAGCACUUUCCUUGUUGAUUCAUGUGACAGGUUCCCAAAUAAUAAUUUCUCGCUGUAAAUUUUCUCCAUUAUCAAUAAGGCUCUUUAUUUUCAAGGAGACCUAGUUUGGUCUUUUGGCUGAGGACCUAUAUCUGCAAAUGUGAAGUUAUGAGUUUUAUUCAACUUUAUCCCAGUGUGCACAUGUUGCAUCGAAAGUUACUACUACCUUUUUCAGGUGUCUGAAGGUUAUAGAGGCCCUACAGUCAUGCUGUGAGAAAUGUAGUUACAAAUCUACACAUUGUGCAUCCGUAUCUGGGCUCUUAAGGACUAAGCCAAAAAAGUGAUAUACUUUCCUUGAACGGUCUUAUAGCAUAUUAGUAUUAAUUUUAUAAUUUUGUACUCAAAUCCAUUGUAUUGUUAAAUAUCACAAUCUGAACAUCAUUUAGUGCCAA